CUUUGGGGGAUAACGCAUCGAAAGAUGUGCUAAUACCGCANAUCUCUCAGGAGGAAAGCAGGGGAUCGCAAGACCUUGCGCUAAAGGAGCGGCCGAUGUCUGAUUAGUUAGUUGGUGGGGUAAAGGCCUACCAAGGCAACGAUCAGUAGCUGGUCUGAGAGGACGAUCAGCCACACUGGGACUGAGACACGGUCCAGACUCCUACGGGAGGCAGCAGUGGGGAAUUUUGGACAAUGGGCGAAAGCCUGAUCCAGCCAUGCCGCGUGAAUGAAGAAGGCCUUCGGGUUGUAAAGUUCUUUUAGUUGGAAAGAAAAAAUUAUGAUGAAUAAUCAUAAUUCAUGACGGUACCGACAGAAAAAGCACCGGCUAAC
rnacentral:rRNA from 1 species